AAAGUCGUAACAAGGUAACCGUAGGUGAACCUGCGGUUGGAUCAUUACUGAUUGCUUGUGCCGGUGCUUGCGCGCUCUCCCGUGCCGUUUCGACGAUGCGGGAUUGAGCACGCUCGCGCUGCGCACACACACACCUCUGUGAACCGUGAUUGUCUUUGGGUGUCUCUUCCGUCGUUUGUCUGUUCUGUGUUGGGGUGCUGCUUUGGCGGUACAACAACGGCAGCGGCAACACACAACGCGGGAAGCGCCCGACAGUUAUAAACCCCCAAUUUAAACUAGUGACUGAAGCGAAAGCAAGCCAAAACGAGAAACAACUUUUGACAACGGAUCUCUUGGCUCUC
rnacentral:misc_RNA from 1 species